rnacentral:rRNA from 1 species
CCUACGGGAGGCAGCAGUGGGGAAUAUUGCACAAUGGGGGAAACCCUGAUGCAGCGACGCCGCGUGAGUGAAGAAGUAUCUCGGUACGUAAAGCUCUAUCAGCAGGGAAGAUAAUGACGGUACCUGACCAAGAAGCGCCGGAUAACUACGUGCCAGCAGCCGCGGUUAUACGUAGGGGGCAAGCGUUAUCCGGAUUUACUGGGUGUAAAGGGAGCGUAGACGGCAGCACAAGUAUGGAGUGAAAUCCCGGGGCUUAACCCCGGAACUGCUUUGGAAACUGUGCGGCUGGAGUGCAGGAGGGGUAAGCGGAAUUCCUUGUGUAGCGGUGGAAUGCGUAGAUAUUAGGAGGAACACCAGUGGCGAAGGCGGAUUGCUAGACUUUAACUGACACUGAGGCACGAAAGCGUGGGGAGCAAACAGGAUUAGAUACCCCAGUAGUC